rnacentral:rRNA from 1 species
GACGAACGCUGGCGGCGUGCUUAACACAUGCAAGUCGAACGGAAAGGCCCUGCUUUUGUGGGGUGCUCGAGUGGCGAACGGGUGAGUAACACGUGAGUAACCUGCCCUUGACUUUGGGAUAACUUCAGGAAACUGGGGCUAAUACCGGAUAGGAGCUCCUGCUGCAUGGUGGGGGUUGGAAAGUUUCGGCGGUUGGGGAUGGACUCGCGGCUUAUCAGCUUGUUGGUGGGGUAGUGGCUUACCAAGGCUUUGACGGGUAGCCGGCCUGAGAGGGUGACCGGGCAAAGGGGGAAGGAGAUACGGCCGAGGCUGGAACGGGAGGGAGAAGAGGGGAAUAGGGCAAUAUGGGUGGAAGGGUGAUGAAGCAAUGCCGCGGGAGGGAUGAGGGGAGUGGGGGUGUAAACAGAUGUCGCAUGUGAAGAAGAGUGAGUGACGGGAAUGGGGAAAGCAGAAAAGGAUAAUUAGGUG